UACAGAGGCCUCGAGCGUUAGGCGGAAUCACUGGGCUUAAAGCGUGUGUAGGCGGACUUCUAAGUACCUUGUGAAAUCCCACGGCUUACCCGUGGAACUGCUUGGUAUACUGGUUGUCUUGAGCUUUCUAGGGGCGAGUGGAACAAAUGGUGGAGCGGUGAAAUGCGUAGAUAUCAUUUGGAACGCCAAUGGUGAAAACAACUCGCUGGGGAAAUGCUGACGCUGAGACACGAAAGCCAGGGGAGCGAACGGG
rnacentral:rRNA from 1 species